rnacentral:rRNA from 1 species
AGUGAACGCUGGCGGUAGGCCUAACACAUGCAAGUCGAACGGCAGCACAGUAAGAGCUUGCUCUUACGGGUGGCGAGUGGCGGACGAGUGAGGAAUACAUCGGAAUCUACUUUUUCGUGGGGGAUAACGUAGGGAAACUUACGCUAAUACCGCAUACGACCUACGGGUGAAAGCAGGGGAUCUUCGGACCUUGCGCGAUUGAAUGAGCCGAUGUCGGAUUAGCUAGUUGGCGGGGUAAAGGCCCACCAAGGCGACGAUCCGUAGCUGGUCUGAGAGGAUGAUCAGCCACACUGGAACUGAGACACGGUCCAGACUCCUACGGGAGGCAGCAGUGGGGAAUAUUGGACAAUGGGCGCAAGCCUGAUCCAGCCAUACCGCGUGGGUGAAGAAGGCCUUCGGGUUGUAAAGCCCUUUUGUUGGAAGAGAAAAGCAGCAGGUUAAUACCCCGCUGUUCUGACGGUACCCAAAGAAUAAGCACCGGCUAACUUCGUG